rnacentral:rRNA from 1 species
GAAAGUAAUGAAGGGCGUACGGUGGAUGCCUAGGCUCUUACAGGCGAUGAAGGACGUGAUAAGCUGCGAAAAGCCGCGGUGAGGCGCAAAUGGCCCUUGACCCGCGGAUCUCCGAAUGGGACAACCCAAUAUCUUGAAGAGAUAUUAUCCCGCCGGUGCGGGAGGCGAACGCGGGGAACUGAAACAUCUUAGUACCCGCAGGAAAAGAAAAUAAAGAAUGAUUCCCCCAGUAGUGGCGAGCGACCGGGGAAGAGCCCAAACCGACGUUGUCUCGGCAUCGUCGGGGUUGUAGGACCGCGCCAUCGCAAGAAAGGCCGUGAGUGGAAGCGACUGGAAAGCCGCGCCAUAGAGGGUGACAGCCCCUUACACGAAGCAGCCUGAAGCGUAGCGGACUCCUGAGUAGCGCGGGACACGAGUAAUCCUGUGUGAAUCCGCCGGGCCCAUCCGGCAAGGCUAAAUACUCGUAAGAGACCGAUAGUGAACCAGUACCGUGAGGGAAAGGUGAAAAGGACCCCUUGCAGGGGAGUGAAAGAGUUCCUGAAACCGUACGCCUACAAGCGGUCGGAGCAUCUUGAAUGAUGUGACGGCGUGCCUUUUGCAUAAUGAACCUACGAGUUGCCGUCACCAGCGAGGUUAAGUGCGACGACGCACCGAGCCGCAGCGGAAGCGAGUCUUAAAAGGGCGCGAUAGUUGGUGGAGGCAGACGCGAAACCGAGUGAUCUACACUUGUCCAGGAUGAAGUCCCGGUAACACGGGAUGGAGGUCCGCACCAAUAAGCGUUGAAAAGCUUCUGGAUGAGGUGAGUGUAGGAGUGAAAGGCCAAUCAAACUCGGAGAUAGCUCGUACUCCCCGAAAGGCAUUUAGGUGCCGCCUGUGGCGUUCCCGACGUGAGGUAGAGCGACUGAUAGGAUGCGAGGGCUUCACCGCCUAUCAAGUCCUGACAAACUCCGAAUGCACGUCGGCCAAGCCAUGGAGUAAGGGCAUGGGUGCUAAGGUCCGUGCCCGAGAGGAGAAGAAUCCAGACCACCGGCUAAGGUCCCGAAAUACUGGUUAAGUUAGUCUAACGAAGUCCGGCCCCCAAGACAGCUAGGAUGUUGGCUUGGAAGCAGCCAUUCAUUCAAAGAGUGCGUAACAGCUCACUAGUCGAGGAGCUGGGCGUGGAUAAUAAUCGGGUAUAAAACCAGUUACCGAAGCCGUGGGAUGCUCAAGCAUCGGUAGGGGAGCAUUGCAUGCGGCUUGGAAGGCGGGGCGCGAGCCCCUCUGGAGCGCAUGGAAACGCAAAUGUAGGUAUAAGUAACGACAAGGGGGGUGGGAUGCCCCCCCGCCGAAAGACCAAGGUUUCCUGAACAACGCUAAUCGGUUCAGGGUCAGUCGGGUCCUAAGCAUAAGCCGUAUGGCGAGGGCGAUGGAUGAAACGGUUAAUAUUCCGUUACUGUCUUGGUGUGUGACGCGGCGACGGAGUAGUGACACGGCCGCCUCCUGACGGAAAAGGGGGUUGAAGCGCAAAGGUGUCGAGGAAGGCAGGCAAAUCCACCUUCCGAGCCGAAGCGCGAUAGUACGCUGCGCCCUUUGGGGCAAGGCGAUAGUGCCGGUAAUCAGACUUCCAAGAAAACCCGCUAAACUUCAGCACCAAGUCACCCGUACUCCAAACGGACACACGUGGUCGGGUAGAAUAUACUAAGGCGCUUGGGAGAUUCACGGUUAAGGAACUAGGCAAAUUGACCCCGUACCUUCGGAAUAAGGGGUCCUCGCUUUUGCGAGGCGCAGAGAAUAGGUCCAGGCAACUGUUUAACAAAAACACAGGGCUGUGCCAAUUUGAAAGAAGAAGUAUACAGCCUGACACCUGCCCGGUGCCGGAAGGUUAAGAGGAGAGCUCAUCAGCGAUGAGAAGGCUUGAAUUGAAGCCCCGGUAAACGGCGGCCGUAACUAUAACGGUCCUAAGGUAGCGAAAUUCCUUGUCGGGUAAGUUC